rnacentral:lncRNA from 1 species
AUUGAGGCAAACAAGGUGUUGUAUAUGGAUUAUAGAUAGAUAACUAGCUAUUAUCCGAGCUUUGCUCUUUCAUAGUCUUGUGUCUUCUACAAUCUCUAAAACAUACCUUGCUUUGGCCUAGUUGAUUACCUAGAAAAUGUUAAUGAUGACUUUGAGCUGGUUAAUUUUCAAAGGAAUGAUUUAUAACCAGGCAAUUGAUGAAUAUUAAUAUUGUAUGUGUUUACGUGGAUUAUAGAUAAUGCAACUAGCUACUAUCCUAUCGUUCUUCUUUCAUAGUCUUGUUGCCUCUACAACCUCUAAAACAUACCAUGCUUUGGCCUGGUUGCUUACCUGGAAAUCUUUAAUUUUGACUUUGAGCUUGUUAAUUAUUCAAGGGAUGAUUUAUAACCAAGCAAUUGGUGCAUAUGAAUAUUAUAGUUUUGUAAGUUAUAGAAUUACCACAGAAAUUGUUUCAACUAGUUGAAGUAGUAAAUGACUUAUGAGAGUCUUGGCCUUUACCUGCAUUUGUUUUGAAUGUUGGGGAAACAAUCUUUUCAGAAGAUCUAAGAGCAUUGCCUCAAAGAAUAUUUGUCUCUUUUCUUGAACUUUUUAUUUUUUGGGAAAACCAUCAUAAACUCACACACACAAGUAAGUGAGUAGGGGUUCAAACCCCUUGUUAUGGCAUCCAGCCUAACAAUUUCGGCAUAUUUUUGCCAGUUGAACCAGGACUUGUGCACAUCUCUUUUCCUAGACUUAUAAUGGGGAAAUAAUAUAAUGUUGUUUAAUGCAUGUUAAAUCCUCUAGACUAAUGGUUGAUUUUUUGAAUUGAUUUUGAUUUGUGGAAUCAUCAAAUGCGAGCCAUAUUAAUGAGAUGUGCAGAAAUUGCUAAGAGCUCUCCACAUUGGGAAAUCACAUAGACAAUGGAGUCAGAUGUAUGUGGAGAACAACCAGGCC